GAAGAAUAUAGGGAAAUAAACGCCUUCAUCUCUCUCUUGUCCCACCCGCAGAGCUCCUUCUGGGAUUCUCUAUUGGCUGAACUCAGCCAGAAGCUGCCAAGGGAGACCCCCACAACUGGAUGCAGCCCACUGAAGUCAGCUUCCUGGGGUGCGUAGCUGAAGGUAGCAGGGAGCAAAAAGAAUCUGAAGGGGAAGUGAACAAUGUAGAGCGUAUCUGUGCUGAAGACGUAAGGAGAGAGUGGAGGUCAGAAGCUGGCAUGGUCCCUGGUGCAUGUAUCAGCCGCUAAAGAAGUGGAGAGUAUGAACAUAAGCAAGAGGAAGUGAUGAGUAUCCCUUCCAGGAGAACUCUAAGAGGCAGUGAGUGAUUUGCUGGGCUCCCAAGCCCUCUGCUCUGAUGACAGCAAAGCCCCAAAUCAUGGUGCCUCCAUCAGUCGGGACCCCUCAGCAGAGCCAGCUUCACAGCUGGAGUGGAUGAAUCAGAACUUUCCCCAUGGGAGCAUUUAUAAAAAGGGGACACCCAGCGCAGAAGAUGUUUUCCAGGGAGAUCUCGGGGAGCCCAACAAGCCAAGAAGAGCAGAGCAAAGCAUUCCAAGGAAGGACUCUAAGUCUGCAACCGAGCACACACGAGCACAAGGAAAGACCAUGUGAAUACACAGCAAGAACGUGGUGCUCUGCAAGUCAGAAACAGACCCGUCAUCAGACACCAAAUCAGCCAGCACCUUGAUCUAGGAU
rnacentral:lncRNA from 1 species